AUUGGAUUAUUUGAGUAUUAAG
rnacentral:misc_RNA from 1 species